rnacentral:lncRNA from 1 species
GUUGUUUUUUGUAGACGAACCCUAUAAAAAAUAGUAAUACACUGUCAAAGAAUAGAUUACUUCUUGAGGAGCUUGGGAUGUGGAGGCAAUCUGUAUUUUUGUUUGAAUGAGUUGUUUGAUAGUUUCUAGUCUUGGGAUUUGGUGGUACCUAGUGAUUCUUGUACAUAAUUUAAUUUCAACCAUUUUGUUCGGAAUAUAGAUAUUGCUUCGGUUGUCUGAUAUUUGCGCUUCUUCUAUUUCCUGUAAUUUAUUUAGAUCCUGUCUUGCUGUGAUUUUAAGCUGAAUUUGGAUCGUUGUUGAUCAAAAAUUGUACCGUUGGACAAUUUUUUAAUGGAAAUAUUCUGACAUCUUUGCAGUACAACAACAGGACAUUUACUCUCAUUUUUCCAAUAUUACCCCCGUCAUUACACACUCUCAACUGCCAACAUUCUGUCCCCCUUUUCCUCGUAACUUUUUGCCUCAAAGUCAGUGAACGUGUAUUCAUACGUGGUUGAAAAGUAGUCUUGAAAAAAUAAAAUGGUUAAAAAAGUGGUUUGGAAAAAUGUGAAAAAUAAAUUUAUGGUGAAUUUUGCUCGAAUUAUGGUGAAUUUUGGUAUUUAACUUGCUCGAAAUAUGGUGAAUUUUGCAUCCACUGUUUGAAUUGGCAAACUACAAAAUUAUUUAUUAGACAAUGCAUUUUGGAACCACUUUCAAGCAUGGCAAGUUACGAUAAUACAAGGACAUUAAAGUUAAACAAAUUGAUAAACAAACAUGUUAAAUCGUAUACAAAUUUUGACAAAUUUUUGUGCAAUAUCAUAAGGAUACGAUUUAAAUCGUGUAAAAAAAAUUUGUGCAGUACCCUUAAGAAAAAAGGAAAAAAUUGAUCUCAUAUUUUUAAAAAAAAAAAAAAUAAUAAUAAAUUAAAAAAAAAAGAAAGAAAAAAAAAUAAAAACAACUUGUGUCUCCGUGACAAAUAUUGUCANNNNNNNNNNNNNNNNNNNNNNNNNNNNNNNNNNNNNNNNNNNNNNNNNNNNNNNNNNNNNNNNNNNNNNNNNNNNNNNNNNNNNNNNNNNNNNNNNNNNNNNNNNNNNNNNNNNNNNNNNNNNNNNNNNNNNNNNNNNNNNNNNNNNNNNNNNNNNNNNNNNNNNNNNNNNNNNNNNNNNNNNNNNNNNNNNNNNNNNNNNNNNNNNNNNNNNNNNNNNNNNNNNNNNNNNNNNNNNNNNNNNNNNNNNNNNNNNNNNNNNNNNNNNNNNNNNNNNNNNNNNNNNNNNNNNNNNNNNNNNNNNNNNNNNNNNNNNNNNNNNNNNNNNNNNNNNNNNNNNNNNNNNNNNNNNNNNNNNNNNNNNNNNNNNNNNNNNNNNNNNNNNNNNNNNNNNNNNNNNNNNNNNNNNNNNNNNNNNNNNNNNNNNNNNNNNNNNNNNNNNNNNNNNNNNNNNNNNNNNNNNNNNNNNNNNNNNNNNNNNNNNNNNNNNNNNNNNNNNNNNNNNNNNNNNNNNNNNNNNNNNNNNNNNNNNNNNNNNNNNNNNNNNNNNNNNNNNNNNNNNNNNNNNUUAGACUGCAAUUGUUGGUCAGUAAUUCGCUAGCUGAGGGAAAUUUUGAAUUUUACAUUUUCAUGUGGUAACCGAAAAAAACCUCACAGUUUUAAAUGUUGCUUAGCAAUAAAGUGGGGCAAUAUUUGGUUGGUGAAUUGUGUAUUUAAAUCGAAGUAUCAAAAGCAAACCACUCUAUACAAUAUAAUUAACUAACAAAACUACAAAUAAAUUUCUUUUUUUAUUAUUAUUUAAUUCAUAUAUUUCACUUCAAUUUUUUGAAAAUUAUUUUAUUCCAUAUUAAUUUUCAAUCACACAUUUUAUAGGAUUUACGCUUUUUUAUCAACUUCUCAAUUAUACAUAUCAUCAACUUCCACUCAAUCCAAUUUGUCAAACCUAUCAAGAUGUACACAUCAGUUUUAAUAAUUAUGAAAGUUCUUGGGUUCUGAAAAUUGUAACAUACAUUUAUUAUGUGAAGCUUAUUUAUAAAUGUAUUUAAUGACUAGGGAUGCACAUAGAUCUUUCUGCCUAUUUGGAGGGUUGGAAAUAAAAUUAUAAUUUAAUUAUUUUCCGAUCACUGGAAGAAAUUUUAAUUGAACAAAGAUCUCCUCACAACAACCUCUAUUGUGCUCCAACUUGACGAUGAUUUGUGAAAACUUUCCUUUUGUUUUAACUGAUCAAAUAAUUUAACGUUCGAACUAAUGGCAUUAAAGUUAUUACUUAGGAAAAACACUUUUCUUUCUUCCGUCUUCUACUCUUAACUUAUUUCUUGCACCUUAAAGUUUCAUCUUUUGCACAUUUGUAUAAAUCUUUGUCAAAAGAAGUGGAUAGAAGAUCUCAUUACCUUAAAAAAAGAUGCGUGCUCAUGAAAGAAAGAAUGAUUAAGUAGAAAAGAAUUUACUCGAUAAUGGAAUUAUGGAAAUGCUUCCUUCUUUCAUAUUUUUUAGAAAUGGGGAGAUGACCGUCAAACGGACAAGAUAUGUUAUCCAUGGAAGCGACGACGGAGUUAAUAGAAGAAUUGUCUCCAAGGCAACCAUCUAUGUUUUUAUUACAUAGGUGGAGUACGUAUAAAUAUGAUAUGAAAUGAAAUUCAAAAAAUGCCAUGUGUUUAAUUGCCUCUUUAGUACAAUGUUUGAUGCUCUUGUUCAUUCAAAUUCAAAGAAAUUAUCAUAGACGAACAUAUGCAGGAAAAUCUGUAAUUGUGAUUCUGAUCGAUUUUCCUUGAGCAAUCAGAAUUGACGUAAAUUAAUGAACUCUCCAACAUCGAUAUAGAAUGGAAACAAAUACAGAUCAAUCGACUCUCCAACAUCGAUAUGGAAAAUUAAAAGCUGUGGUUCAAAAAUAAAGAAAAGAAAUGUUUUUCUCUAAUUUUAAUUCUACCCGACUAGCCCUUGGUCGAAGCAUCAAAGCAGAACACGGAAAAUUAUAACGAUCCUAACCCUCACGCCACCUGAGCCAAGUCGUUCAGAUCCUUUACCCACUUCCUGAUUCCUGUAAUUAAUCCAAGAAAAUCUGUUUUGGACGUGGAUAAUAUUGAACGAAAAGACGAGAAAACAUUUAUGAACCUAAAUUACUUCUGUUGCUUUUACCCAAAAAUACUGUAUUAAUAUCUAGUACUUCCACUUUCCCUGGACCAGAACACUCCAUUCCCAUCUACAGGAACAUUCACCCCUUUCCUCUCCGUACACACGAAGAUACACGAAGUGGUUUCCUGCUGGGAAAGUAUAAAUUCUUCCCCCUUUUUCCUUUUUGAUGUUUUUACAUGAAUGAUCGUGUCAUUUGCCCUGGGCUGUUAUUUUUAUUGUUGAAUUUUGGAACUAUUCUUGUUUUCUUGCUCUCUCUUGAAUAAUUUUGUGCAAAGGAUGGAAACUUUAAGAGGGGAAAAUUUGAAACUUCAGACUUCAGUAAUCGAAAGGUUUCUUUUCACACCUUUUAAUAAAUUUUGUAAAAUAUCGAUCCUUCUCUUACAAAAACACAAAAAGUAUUUUGGAUAAAAAUUCACCUUUUCUAGAUCAGGGGUUUCUGUUUUCCUUUUAUUUUCCACGGUGUGAUAUAUAUUUACUCUUGUUAAUAAUCUCUUUGGUUGUAUGUACAAUAGCCAGUCGAUAAGUAGCAUUAUAAGGACGCAUGAGACUAAAACCUAUUAUAUGGGGCAAUAGAUUUUUUUUUUUCUUUUUUUUUUUUUUCAGUAAUAUUAGAUUUAUAAUUUUUCCCAUUCACUUAUCAAGGGGGUUUUGAUGUUUGAAUGAUUACCAGACUUCGAGUUCUCAGUCUGACAGAAUGGAUCAUCUGAAAAUAGAGUCUUGCAUUGACUUCUUGCAAUGCCUCGCGGCAGAUGUGUCCUUGAGUAUCUUGAUUUGUUUGGAUGAUCCGGCGGAUCUGGUCCGUGCAGGUGCUGUCUCGCGCUUUUGGCGUCGGUUUGGUGAGUUUUUCAUGUUCAACUUCAUAAUUAUGUGACAAUGGUUGGUCUACUGCUAGUGUAUAUUUACUUUUGAAAUCUACUAAUUGUUAUUUAUGUUGCAUCACUGGAUUCGUGGAUAAUUCCUUAUUUACCGGCUCAAGCGAUCUUUGUUUGGUGCCAUUCUUAUGAACUGCAGGUAGUUGAAGAUGUGUACAUGGAGUAUUUUCGCGAGAGAGAGAGAGAGAGAUGUAAGGGCAUAGUAUAGAGGAUUCCUCAUUGCUAUACACUAUUAUCAAGGUUCCACAUCAAGUUUUUCUUAACUUUUUGCUUCAAUCAUGGAUUAGUUUAUGGGACAUAUUUAAGAUGGUUUUUGGACAUGAGGAUGCUAGGGGAGAUAAUUAUUAGAUCAAUUAUGCUUUAAAGGACAAAAUCUCCACAAGACAAAAGUAACAGAAAUGAGGAUGCUAAGGUGAUAUUGGUCAUGCUAGAAUGGUGGAUAAGAUAAGAUCCAUUCUAACAAAUGAGAAUAUUUGCCAAUAUGUAUAGAGGUGGCACUGGUUGAGAAUGAUUCAAUAGAUGGAUUAAUUGGGUGAUCGGGACAUGCUAAAGGGCUUCCCAGUUAUAAGAGUGAUGACAUUUUAGUAAAAGGACGGGUAGAUGAAAGUUAACAUGGCGAAUCUGGUUGUUAAAGAAUUUUAGUUGCCUUGGACAUUACAUUAUAUUUAUCAAUCAACCAUAUGGAUUGGUAAAAAGGAAUCAUGUGGACCAUUAAUUUAUAGUAGAUAAUGCUGUCUGUUGCUUGUAUGUUGUAAAUGUCUAGUGCAUAUCCAGAUACACAAAACUAAACACUUGUUCUCCAUGUGCAUAGUAAUACUUCUGUUCUAUCAACAGUGAUAGCCUAUUAUGUGGUUUGAUAUUUUCUUGUUUGAUCAGUACAGGGAGUUGCGCAUAAUUCACAUUUCCUGUCAGUGCAAUCUUUUUGGUUUCAUGCUUUGUUGUGGUUUGUUAAGGAAUGUAAUAUUACUUGAUAGGUACUAGUAGUACAGAUGGUUCUUUGUUUCUUAAACAUUGCUAUUGGAAUGCCUAAAAUGUCCCAUUUUGAAAAAUGUGGAAAUAAAUUGAAGGGAAUUUUGAAAUGUGAAGUUUUCGAUGAGCCUCGUUUUGAGUCAAUUUUCUUAUGAAUUAUUCAAAGUUAUCUAGUUUUUAUGUAAACUUUCUCUAAACCAAGUUGAAAUUGAAUUAUCUCAAAGAUACUAUUGAUAGAGCCCCAAUUAAGUACACCUAUUGUAGAGGACUCAAGAAGACUGAAGGAGGGAAGGAACCAUAACUAAACUCUGUUAGAGGGUAUAUUAGGAAAGAAGUUUUUAGAAAGAAUUCUAUAUAGAGUACCAACCAAUUGUGAUAGGCAGGAAUUAAGUACGUGAAGUGAGAAUUAGGAGAGUCGGCCCUCUCGAAAGGUUGGACAGUUUGCUUUAUUUUCUGUAACCCGUCUCUUUUCGAUCAAUAAAAGUUUCCUUGCUUCCAAUUUUUCCUUCUUCUGUUGCUAGACCCUAUCAACUGGUAUCAGAGCACACCAAUCAUCCGCCACAACCAUGACUCUUACUGAUCGAGUUGCUGAGUUAGAAAAAAAGUGGAGAGCCAUCACCAUGAACUACAUAUGGGGAUUGAGGCACUACGUUUGGAAUUUCAAUUGAUGCACUCAGGGAUGAUGGACAAGUUCGAAUUGUUGUUGCGAACUUGGGAAAAUCAAGAAAAGGGGAUAAAGGAAAAGGGCCCUGCUACUGGAGAAUCACCGGCAAUCUCUACUAAUUCUGGGUUAACUGAAAUCCGACCAAGUCCUAACCAAAACAUUGGAGGAGGUUUAUGGGCUGAAGGGAGGAUAGAAUCGCGAAUCAGACGGCUAGAGAUGUCGGUGUUCGAAGGGACUGAUCCAGAUGGUUGGAUUUUUCGGGUGGAGCGAUAUUUCCUCAUUAAUAGGCUGGUUGAGGAAGAGAAAGUGGAAGUAGCUACUGUUUGUUUCGAUGGCGAGGCACUAGCUUGGUACAAAUGGGAAGAAAAACGGCAGCUAAUGAGAAACUGGGAGGAGGUGAAAGUACAGUUGCUGCGAUGAUUUUGGCCAUCACAAGAAGGGUCUCUUUGUGCCCAGUUUUUGUCUUUUGGCAGAGCUCCACCGUUCGAGAAUAUCGCUGGCGGUUUGAAACCUUGGCAUCACCAUUAACGGAGGUCUCUGAGGAGAUUUUGGAGUGCAAUUUUUUGAAUGGAUUAAACCUAACCAUACGGGCUGAAGUUAACUUAUUCCGACUCAUGGGUUUAGAGCAAAUAAUGGAAAUAGCCCAUAUGGUUGAAGACUGGAAUCUAAUAACCCAAAAGAGCCCAUGGCAGGAUGACCCAAUUAAACCCAAAAGUAUCCCCUUUCACAACCCAAAUCCACCUCCUUCUCUCAACUCAAAUCUAACCCAGCUUCCCAACCCAGUUAACAAGCAAUCAGUACCCUUAAAUCUUAUCCCAACUCGUCCAAACCACUACAAACAACUCACAGAUGCAAAAAUGCAGACAAAGAGAGAAAAAGGCUUAUGUUAUCGUUGUGAUGAGAAAUUGACAACUGCGCACAAGUGUAAAAAUAAAGAGUUGCAAGUUCUUGUAAUGAGAGAGCUGGAAGAGGCGACGGACAGCAAAGUCAUGACCGACGAUAGUGAGAGGGAGGAACCUGUUUCAGGCAAGCAAGAGCUGAAUGGUUUAGGAUGCUGGCCAGCAACAAUCAAGUAUACUUUCCACCUUGAGGACAAGGUGACUGAAAUGGGAGGGGUAUUGAUAGAGCCCCAAUUAAGUACACCUAUUCUAGAGGACUCAAGAAGACUGAAGAAGGGAAGGAGCCAUGACUAAAUUCUGUUAGAGGGUAUAUUAGGAAAGAAGUCGUUAGAAAGAAUUCUAUAUAUAGAGUACCUACCAAUUGUGAUAGACAGGAAUUAAGUACGUGAAGUAAGAAUUAGGAGAGUUAGCCCUCUCGAAAGGCUGGACAGUUUGUUUUAUUUUCUGUAACCCGUCUCUUUUCAAUCAAUAAAAGUUUCCUUGCUACCAAUUUUUCCUUCUUCCUGCUACUAGACCCUAUCAGCUAUCUUGCUACAAAUUUUUUUGAUGUAUCUGUUGUAUUUCAAAAAAUGAAUCCAAAAUCUUCCCUAGAAGUUUUUCGUUUUCAGUUCAUCCGAAACUAUUAGCUGGAACAUAGUUUUGAUCCAUCAAAUUUCUUGCUGAAGGCCAGUUGUCUUGAUAUUUCAUGUUGGACGAUCUCCUAGAUAAUUUGAGGAUGAUGAUGACCUAGAAGACAGUAAUGAUCUCUUUGUGAUAGCUCAUUAAUGUGGAGCAUAGGUCUGUUGCUUCGGCUAGUUUCUCGCUGGAUUUGUUAUUUCAACACUAUCAACAUAAUAGGGUACAUGAGGAUUAGGUAAAAGUAAUUGAGAGAAACAAUGUUGAUUCUCAUUGGAUUUGUUAUGUUAACAUUAUCAACCAAUAGGAUACAUGUUGAUGAGGUAAAAGUAUUUGAGAUGUUGUUAGGUGCAUACUUAAGAAGCUUUUAUAUACGCUGACGAUCUUGUAAUUUUAUUAAGUGCUUGUUUGAUAGAGAUUUUUAUAAUUGAUUUUUUGACCGUUGGAGAUAAAAUGGGUCUUACCUGUGAGAAAAGAAUUAAAAAAUGACGACCAUAAUAGUGAAAUAACAGUAAAUUGAUUUUAAUUGGUUUAAAAUCUGUACCAAACAAGCUCUAAUAUUGAUAAAUAAUAUCUGGUCCAAAAUGUUUGAUGUCAAGUGUGCUGGGAAUUAAGGUGGUUGAUGAUGUAAAGCAAAUCUUGCUAAUUUAAGAUGGUGGAACAAGCAAUUGUCAAUUUCAGCUUGGUUUAUGCUGGUGCACUUUCUCACAUUAAUUUUUGAUAGAGAUUUUUAUAAUUGAUUUUUUGAUCGUUGGAGAUAAAAUGGGUCUUACCUGUGAGAAAAGAAUUAAAAAAUGACGACCGUAAUAGUGAAAUAACGGUAAAUUGAUUUUAAUUGGUUUAAAAUCUGUACCAAACAAGCUCUAAUAUUGAUAAAUAAUAUCUGGUCCAAAAUGUUUGAUGUCAAGUGUGCUGGGAAUUAAGGUGGUUGAUGAUGUAAAGCAAAUCUUGCUAAUUUAAGAUGGUGGAACAAGCAAUUGUCAAUUUCAGCUUGGUUUAUGCUGGUGCACUUUCUCACAUUAAUUUCAGGAUCUUUCCAACAAAAAAAAAAAAAACCGCUUGNNNNNNNNNNNNNNNNNNNNNNNNNNNNNNNNNNNNNNNNNNNNNNNNNNNNNNNNNNNNNNNNNNNNNNNNNNNNNNNNNNNNNNNNNNNNNNNNNNNNNNNNNNNNNNNNNNNNNNNNNNNNNNNNNNNNNNNNNNNNNNNNNNNNNNNNNNNNNNNNNNNNNNNNNNNNNNNNNNNNNNNNNNNNNNNNNNNNNNNNNNNNNNNNNNNNNNNNNNNNNNNNNNNNNNNNNNNNNNNNNNNNNNNNNNNNNNNNNNNNNNNNNNNNNNNNNNNNNNNNNNNNNNNNNNNNNNNNNNNNNNNNNNNNNNNNNNNNNNNNNNNNNNNNNNNNNNNNNNNNNNNNNNNNNNNNNNNNNNNNNNNNNNNNNNNNNNNNNNNNNNNNNNNNNNNNNNNNNNNNNNNNNNNNNNNNNNNNNNNNNNNNNNNNNNNNNNNNNNNNNNNNNNNNNNNNNNNNNNNNNNNNNNNNNNNNNNNNNNNNNNNNNNNNNNNNNNNNNNNNNNNNNNNNNNNNNNNNNNNNNNNNNNNNNNNNNNNNNNNNNNNNNNNNNNNNNNNNNNNNNNNNNNNNNUUUUGUUUGAGCAUAUGUCUGUGGUGCUUGUUACUAAUAGAAUAAUAUUACGUUCCUUUAGCUUUUUUCCAGCCGGGCAAACCCAUAUAUUCAGCGAAAUCUGUAAGAUUUCGAAUAAGUCAUCCUAAAUCCCCAAGGGAGAUUGAAAUGAACCUCAAACAUUUGCCAGUGCAAAAGCCAGUUGAUGACAUGUUUGGAUGGACAUACACUUCGCCAGAAUUUCCAAUGACACAGGUUUUUAUUUGUACUUGGGUUUAAUUUUAAACAUCUGCUUUUGAUUUUUGCUCUCCUCUUUCCGCUUCAUGGCAUCAGAAUUCUAAUAGCACUUCUUUUCUGUGUUUGGAACCGUUCAGUUUUUUUCUCACUUGAUUGAUGGGAAUGAGAGGGGAUUUUUGUCACAAUAAUAUCAUUUACUUAAUUCGUCCCCCACCCCAAGUUUUUAUUUUUAAUUUUUUUUUUUUUUUUUGUGUGUGUGUGUGUGUGGUGUGUGUUGUCAAGAGAGCCUCUAUUCAUCUUUAGAUGGAUCUAGUAGUAGUUCAUCCUGGAAGGAUCAUGUUUGGAUAAUCUUUUCCUCCGACACAGGAAAAUCGUUUGCAGCCAUUCAAGCUGCCAGAACCCGUUCUUUGCAUGGGUGGAUAUUUGCAGAUUGAGUUAUUGGGUAGGAUUCAAAGACAAGAAAUGGAUGGAUUGUUCUACAUAUGGUGCGUUCCCUUAUACUUUCCCUUAUCCCAUAUUCUGCGUUCUUCAUCCUUAUGCUUACCCUGUUAUUACAUUGGAAUUAGAAACAGUAAAGCAGUUCAGUCAGUCGAUUUGCACGGUUAAUUGUAUUUUCACUUGAAUCCUGUCUUUAUCUUCAAACUCCAUGGAGAUUGUGGAAUAAGAACGUGAUAUUAAAUAUGAUUUGGAUCUUAUUGGAAAUCAAAAGAUAUAUAAUUACAAUUCAGGGAAAAAUUGAUGCAUUUAGUUGGCUGACUGUGACAUUUUUGUGUUAAAUUAAAAGCUACUGAAAAACUAUUUUUUCUUUUGUUCAGUCAAAAAUUCAGUUGCAUGUUCACAACCACCAUCCAUUUAUUAAUAACUCAUUUUGGGCACCCAAUACUAUUCCUCCUAAAAUAUUACUAAUAAUUUUAACCUAAUACUUACCUUGCAUAAGCAAAUUGGCAAGUAAACCUUCCUGUCCCUAGAACACCCAAGCACACAAAUUUAUAGUGGUUCUCUCUACGUCAACUUGCCCCUUUCCUUUGCAGAUUUUUCACUAUAACAAACAAGUAGAUUGCAUAGUUCUAUCCUGCCACCCCAUGCUUUAUCUAGAAGGAAAAUGCUACCCGACCCCCAGAUUUCUGUAUAUUACGUAGGAAAAUAUGGCGACCUGAUACAAACAGUACAAUUAGGUUCCCUAGAAUCCAACAGCAGGUUGAAAGAAUAGAUCAUAUACAGCUUAAUGAAGCCUCCUCCUCGAUGAAUUUUGCAGCAAUUGUAGCAUGUUAUGUUGUUUGUUUUCAUUUUGUGCGCGCUGCUGCAUGUUGGAUUUAGUGUCUAUGCUUGUACGUUGUAUGUGACUGUGUGCAACUAAAAUGACACGACUCUUGUCACGAAACACUGCAGCGUGUGUCAUGUUCGAGUUCUUGGGCGGCCCGUGUAUCCUGCUUUUGACGUAGAGAUCCUCGAACCACACGGAAAGUUACUGCUCAAGUAUAACCCCGAGGCUCUUAGCUCUGUUCUGAAAAGCGUUUCCAGUGAUGACAUCCCGCACAUGCGCCAACUAGAAGAAAAGAUGAUGUGGGAACGCGUAAGUUUACUGGAUAUUUUGUUGCGUGGGAUACAACAUGGGCCAACCAACCUCGGUGUCUUUGGCGACGAGGAAGAUGAAGAUAUGGAUGAGGUUCUUAUUUUGUAAUUCUGCUGCAUUCCCGUCUUUCCACAAGUCGUAUAUUUCUAGACUUCAUCGCACUCUUCGUGAGUUAGUGCAUAUGUACAUUAUCUUAUUUUUCGUUCUCCUAGCACUUGUGAACGGUUAACCUUUAUAUUUUCUCGAGUAAAAAUUAUGUAUUUUGAAGUGCUUGCAAUACUUAGACCCUGUUUGGCUUAGCUAACCAUUAUAUUUUCAGUAAAUUUUGAUAAAAAUUGAGGAAAUACUAGAUUGAAAAAUUGAUAAAAGUUGUAGGUCUUAUUAACUAUAAAUCUAACAGGGAUUUAGUCCUUGUUUGUCUCUUGUUUAUAACCAGUUAAACUAUUUUUUAUCUAUAUAUUUUGUGAGAAUCUUUUUAUUUAUUUAUAAUUUAAAUAGAUUAUAAACAACUGUGGAACAUGCUUUUGUUCAUAUUUAAACUUUUAGUACAUUUAUUAAUGAGAGGAGAGUUAUAAUUGGAACAAUAGAAAUACAAAUAUUAAUGAUGCAAACUCUUCAUUUUUAUUUUAUUUUAUUUUUUUAAAUUUGAUUUGACGCUUGUUCUGAUUUUUGAAUUGAGAAAAGUUUCUAUACUUGGAUAAUAAAUUUCUUAAAUCUUAGAAGAUAUGUUAAGGUUUCCUCAAUCUUCCAAUAAUAAGAAAAUACAAUAAUUUUACAAAACAUAAAAAUUCUAGAAGUAGCGUGCAUUUUCAUUUAACAAUGAUAAGCAAUUUUUUGACCUUAAAAAGUUUGUCUAGAAUUAUGAUAUGAAUUUUAGAUUUUAAAAUCAUUUAACUUAUUCAUUAGAUUUAAAAGCAAAUCACUUUUUUUUCUUAAACAAUAACGUCGAUAAAAAAGAAAAAAUUACUUAAAAGUAAAAAGAGAAUAAUAAAAAAUUAAUAUAAGCACGUGUAGAGCAAAAGAUUGAACAAUUAAAUUUACAAAUCAAGUUUCAAAUUCCAAAUAAAACUACAGGCAACUCUGCUUUAGUUUCACACACAAAUGAACAUUGAAGACUAGGGAUAAGGACACCUUAAAACAUACAAGGCCGGCCUAAUAUUUUGGGGUCAUAUGCUAACUUUAAAUACGGGGCCCUAUUGAAGAAAAAUCAACGCAUUCUUACAUAGUCUUCCUAUAGAGAGUUUUAAUAUAUUCAUGAAGAAUCUAAUACAGACAAUUAAACCCCAAAGUUUGAAGAGAAAAAUAAGAAAAUGUCAAAAUUGAACAUGCAAUAUAAAUUAUAAGUGAAGUUUGACAUACAAAAUUAUAAUGCAAUGGCAAAGUGCCAUGUUCGUUUCUUUGAUCAUUUUCUCACUACAACUAUUUAAAACAAAAUUGAAUGUGCAUUUGAGUAAUUUAUGUACAAAAUAAAAAAAUGUUGACUACAAGAUAUUGUAUAACAAAAUACUGAAAAUGAUGAUCAAAUACAAAUAAGCUCCUAAAAUCUUGUAUUAACUCAUACUAAAUUAAUUCAAAACUAAGAAGUAUGAACACGAACAAAGGAUUAUUAUCAUGAGAUUAAAGAGACAUUUUUGUUUGGUUAAGAAAAGAAAAUGGAUGUUCGGAAGAUAAAUGGUCAAAUUAAUUAGAGAGCGUAAUGUUUGUGAUAUAUUUAUAUGAUAAAUAAAUGUAAGUGAUAAACUUUGUCAUUUAUAUGUCUUUCUAAAAAUUUUUGUAUUUUCAAUUUUUACUAGUUUCUUGUAUUUGCGUAUUGAUAAUUCUAUUUUAAAGAAUUUCAUAAAUAUGAUUUUUUUUUUCAACCAACUAACCUUGCAUAAUUUGGUGCCUCACCAAAGUGGGCCUUAGGAGAUUGCCUAACCUGCUUGGCCGCCGUUGUUAAUUCCGCGAACUCAACAACCCAAUUCACAUUCAUCCCUUUUCUAUAGCUGUAUAUACUUGCGGUAUGUAUUAGGUUCUCCCUCUCGCAUUGGUUCUGCAUCAGAUGAUGAGCCCCUGCGAAAACUUUCUCUUUUAUUGGCGCCCGAGUAGGAAGGUACCCUUCUUUCGCUUGGGAAAUACAUACAAAUGACCUAAACAAAGAGGCCAUUUUUCUAAAAUAACCUUUGACUAAUUUAGAUCCUAAAAUACCCCCUCCUUUUGAAUAUUACAUAACAAGUUACUAUAAUAUAGAAAUCUUCCAUUUUAAUCCCUAAAAUUUAAUUAUUACUUAAAUUUGGAUAGAUUUUUUUAUUUAUUUGAUUUUUGUUCGCUCAAAUUAGCAUCUCCUAAUUGGUAUCAGAGCCAUGAACUAUGAGAAAACCCAUAACAAAUAAAUUACCUAAAAAGGAAAAAAUCUUUAGAUACAGAUUAACACUUAGAUUUUAUUUAGAAGAAGAAAGAGGAAGUUAUAUAUUUUUAAAACCUAUUCAUAAUAAAUUGAAAAUAAUGACAUUAACAAUAAUUAAAAAACUACCUAAAGAAAUAAAAGAACAAAUAUUAGAAAAAUUAAUAAUAGAAACAAUAAAUGAUAGAUAUAUAUAAAAAAAAUUAAUGUAUAUGAAGAUGAAGAAAUCAAUUUAUAUCAUAAAGAGAAUAUGAGUGCAAGUAAUAAUAUAGAUUUGAAAUUAAAUAGAUUACUUAUAAAAAUGUAAAAAAUACGAGAUAUAAUGUUAAUACCAGAAAGUAUAAGAGUAUCAAAUAAAAGACAAUUAAUAAAAUUAAAAUGUCAAAGAUUAAGACUUAAAAGUAAAUAUAAUAAAAGAAGAAUUAGUAAAUACAGAUAACUAUACUAAUAAAAGAUUUGGAAUAAUAAUAGACAAACAAAGAUGAUAAAAGAUAUAAAUUAACUUAUAUGUUAGAAAGAUGAUUUUAAUAUGUCAAUAGGUGAAUAUAUGGAAGAAUUAAAGUCAUUAAUAAAAAUUUUAAUAACUGAUGUACAAGAUUUAAGAAAUGAAGUAAGAGAAACAAGUAAUAAUAUAAAUAUAUUAAAGAUUGAAAUUAGAGAAGUAAAAGAAAAUAAUAAAAAUUAAGAAAAGAAAAUAGAUAAAAAUUGAUAGAAAAAGAAAUGACUAGAAUAGGAAAGAAAUAUAUUGAGAAAGAAAAUAUAGUAAUAGAAAGAUGAAGUAUGGAUGAUGAAUUUAGAAAAAAAUAUAUUACCAAGAAUAUUAGAAGAAGAAGAAACUAGGGAAAAAUAUUAGGAAAAUUAAAAGUAGAAGAAAAAGAAGAUAAAGAUGAAUGAGGAAUUAGAUUUACUAAUAGAAAAUUUUGAUCAAUUAAGUUUAAUUGAUAUAAGUGAAUAAAAAGGUUUAAUGAAUACUGGAGGAUAACCAAAUCCAAUGGGAACAUCUAAACAAGAAUUAGAAUAUUCAAAUGAAAGUUGUGCACCUAUAUAUAAUAAAUCAUAUAGAUAAUUUUAUGAUAAAGUAAGAGAUAGACAACCACCUAAAGGAAAUAAAUAUAGAGACAGGUUUGAAUUAAAUGAUAAUUAUGAUAAACUUAUUAACUAUGGAGGAAUAAAAUUAGAUUUAAACUAUAAAAUAGAUACUAAAAAAGUCAUAUUAACUUAGGCAGAUUCAAUGAUAUUAUUUUUUUUAUAUAAUAAAAAUGACACAUGGGAAAAUACUGAAAGAAUAAUAGAUUUCUUAAUAGCAUCAUUUGAAGGAUAUGUUAAAAAUUGGUGGGAAUGAAUAAGUAAUGAUACAAAAAUAUUAAUAAAAAGAAAUGUACAAACAGAGAUAAUAAAAUCAGAUAGAUAAGGUAUGGAAAAGUUAGUAUAAUACAUUUCGGAUGAUUUUUUAGGAGAAAAUUGGAUAAGAAACGUUAAAAGAGAAGAGAUAAGAGAAAAAGACAAUACUAGAAUUAAACUUAUAAAUUUAACAACAUGUGAUUUGUGUAAAAUUUAAGAAUAUACUUGUGAUUUUAGAAAUUAUUAUUAUGUUUACAUGUUAUCUAAAAAUAUAUAAAAUUUAGAAGAAGAUAUUACAAAAUAUAUAUAUAUAUAUAUAUAUAUCUCAUAUGAUCAACAGAAAAAUAAAAGUUACAAGAAAAAUAAAAGUCAAUGUACAUGUUGGAAUUGUGGAGAAAUAUGUCAUACAAGUCCUGAUUGUGAUAAAAAAGAAAGUUAAAAUAUUACAAAAAGAAUAUUUGGAAAUAAAAUAUUGAUUUUAUGAAAUAUCAGAUAUUUAAGAAUAUUAUAAUUAAGAAGUUUAUAUAAGUGAAACAGAGAAUCAUAAAUCAGAACAUGAAUAAAGAAAUCAAGGAAAUAGAAAAUAAUAAUAUAAAUAUACAUGAAUAUGAAGGAAUAGAACGAUAUGAAUUAAAAGUUACCUUUAAUAAUAAUAAAUUUAGAAAAUUACAAAAAUUAUCUUUAAAUCUAAAAAUAGGGAAAUGAGAAGUCUUAGAUAGAAUUUAGAAAAAGGAAAUGAUAGCUAUAAAUGAAUAUCACAAAAAAAAGCUAUAAAUGUAAGAACAACAUAUGGACAACAUAAAAUAAAUCUUUUAACAAAAAAUACAGUUGAAGAAUUAUUAACAAAGGUUAGUAAAAAUCCAAUAUAUUUAUUUAGUAGGAAUACAAAUAAUUUUUAAAUCAUUAUUUAGAGAAGGAAUCAAUUCACCAUUGACUAUAACCUUACAUGAUUGAAGAAUAAUAAAUUUAAAAGAUAGUCACUUAGGAACAAUAGAAGGAAAUCUGGCAUAUCAAAAAUAAUGUUUACAUGUUAUCUAAAAUAUUGUGUUUCAUUAAAAGAUAGAAAUUUUAAUGAAGUAUUAGGACUAUAUUUUAAGUUGUAUAAAGAUGAUAUUAUGCAACCAGGGGAUCAAAUUAUGACUAUAAAAUAUAGAGUUUAUAUACAUUUACCAAUUCUAAUUAUGAAAAUAUUUAUUCCAAUAAAUCUUAUAUUGAAGUACAUAGAGAAUGUAAUGAUAUUAGCAAAAUAAUAGAACUAAAUAAACAAAUAAGUUUAAUUCCGGAAGAAUAUGAAUUUAGUAUAACAAAAAUAAACCCGAAAUAACAGAAUUAAAUGAAGGAGAAUGUUUUAAUAAUAUAAUAUUUAAGGAUAUAAAAUUAAUCAAAAGAUCAAAAAAUCUUAGAAUAUCCUAAUAAAAACCAAUUAGAAGAAUUUAGUAAUAUAAAAGAAGUAAAAUUAUAUAGGAAUGUUGGAAAUAUGAAAAUAGAAGGAAAAUAUUAUAAUGGAAGAGAAAAUAUAAAUGGACCAAAUAUAUUAAUACAUACAGGAGCUAGUGAAUGUCAUAUAACUUCUAUCAGAAAUAAAUGAUUAAUAACUCAUAAAAUCGAUCCAUAUAAAUAUGUAAAUUUUGAUGGACGGGUACAUAGUACAGAUUUGGAAGUCAAGGUAUCAAUAAAAAUAGGAGAAAUAAAUCUUUUAGUACCAUAUUAUAUAGAUAAAAGUAUGGAUAUAAACCCUUAUAUACUUUUAGGGAUGAGUUUUCUAAAUGGAUUAUAAGAUUAUAGUAUAAAAAGAAAAGGAUUAUAUAUAGUACAUAAUGGACAAACUAUAUUAUGUAAAAAGAACUAAAUAAACAAUCAAAUAAAUUUUUCAUUAGCUGUAUAUAUACAAGUUACUAUUGUAAAAUCAAAUAUAACAACUUGUGCUUUAAUAGACAUAGGAAGUGAUAUAACAAUAUUUAAAUUUUUUCUGAUAAAAUCAUGGAAUAAUUAUAGUAACAUAAAAAUAACUGGAGUCACAAGAGAAAGUACCCAGAUAAUAAAUAGUGCUGAUAAAGUUAGUAUAAUUCUUGGAAGUAAACAACUUACAAUAAAUAAAAUUUAUAUAUACGAUAAAUUAGAGUGUUAUAUAUUAUUAUGAAAUAACUUUAUACAACAAUGUCAAUAUUAUAAACAAAAUAAUUAUGUUACAAACACCUUACUCACACUUAUUAAAAAUUUCAAGGGAAUUUAAACCUUAUAGAGUUCAGCCGGUCCAGCGUGGUGAUAAAUGAGAGAAAAAACCAAUCAUGUUUAAUGAAAUAAAAAAUAAAAGAAUAUUGUAUAAAAAAGUUUUAAAAAUGAGAAUAGAAAUAAGUAUACAAAAAAUUAUUGAACAAUUAGAAAAAGUUUAUGGAGAAAAUUCAUUAUUAUUUUGGAAACCACAUCACCCUAAAGCCAAGAUAGAAUUGACAUAAAAUUUUAUAAUAAGAGUUAGAUCAAUGAUGUAUACUAUAGAAGAUACACCAGAAUUCAAAAAUCAGAUAACAGAAUUGUUAGAACAGAAACUUAUUAGACCUAACAAUGAACCUCAUAGUAGUCAAACCUUUAUUGUUAUGAAACAUUCUGAAUAGAAUAGAGGAAAAACUAGAAUGGUUAUAAAUUACAAAGAGUUAAAUAAAUAUACUAAAUUUGAUGGAUAUUUUUUAUCAAAUAAAGAAGUUUUAAUAAACCGUGUAAAAGGAAAACAAUAUUAUUCUAAAUUCGAUUGUAAAUCACGAUUUUGGUACACCUCAAGGAAAAUAUGAAUACUUAGUAAUACCAUUUGGAUUAAAAAAUACACCACAAAUAUAUCAAAGAAAAAUGGAUAAUAUAUAUAAAAAGUUAAAUGAAUUUCUAAUUAUUUAUAUAGAUGAUAUACUGAUAUGUUCUAAUAGUAAAGAAGAACAUAUGAAUCAUUUAAUCCAAUUCAUAAAUGAAUGUAAAAAAGAAUGAAUUAUACUUUCUAAAAAGAAAUUUAUAAUAACAAAAUAAGAAAUAAACUUUUUGGGAUUAUCAAUAGAUAAGAGAGGAAUAAAAUUACAGACUCAUAUAUUUAAAAAGAUAGAAAGUUUUCCAUAUAAAUUAAAAUCCAAAUAACAAAUACAAAAAUUCUUAAAAUGUUUAAAUUAUGCUAAAGGAUUUAUUGAAAAUCUUUCUUAGAAAAGAUAUAAGAUCCAAAUUUUAUUUAGAAAAAUAAAUUCUAAAUGAUGGAAUGAAGAAUAUACAGAAAUAGUUAAAUCAUUAAAUGAAGAAUGUAAAAUUUUACCAAAAUUAAGAUUACCAAAUGGAAAAGAUAAUUUAAUUGUUAAUAUUGAUGCCUCAGAUAAAAAUUGGCCAGCAAUAUUGAAACAAAUUUAAAUGAGAUUUGUAGAUAUUCAAGUGGAACUUUUAAUAAAGUAGAAAUAAAUUAUACCACACAUGAGAAAGAAUUACUAGCAAUAAUUAGAGGAAUAAAAAAGUUUUUAUUAUUCUUACUAUCCAAGAAAUUUAUUGUUGAGACUGAUAAUUCUCAAAUUGCAGGAUUAGUCAGGAAUAAACUACCAUCAGAACCUCAAUACAGAAUGCUCCAUAAAUAACAAGCCUAUUUAGCAUUUUAUAAUUUUGAUAUAGUUCAUAUUAAAGGAGUUAAUAAUUUUCUUGCAGAUUUUCUCAACAGAAAUAUAGAAUUUGCUGAUGGAUAAAGUUAGGGUCAUGGAGUUAUACCAAUCUAUCCUACAUAUACAAAAAAAGGACAAAUUUUCUUAAAAAAGAAUCUAAAGAUAUAAAUACUGGAACAACACAGAUCUCAAAGAUGUUCCACUCAAAUAUAAAAAUAUUGUUGAAUAUCACCACUGAGCAUCACAAAGAAGCCAUAAAACUCAAAAAUCAAGUUGAUGUUAUUGCAGCAAAACUAAAAGAUAUACUGUCUGAGACAGAUAUACUAAAGAGCUCAGAAAUUAGUUUUUCAAAUCAAUACCAAACAGGGACAGUUGGAAGCAUUAGUUGACCUAGACGUGACAAUAUAUCAACUGAUAAAAAAAGAUUUCAUUUCAGUAACACCAACAAAAAAAAUGGUGAUACAUGGAGAUAAAAAAGAUUCCAAAAUUAUUAGUAUUAUAGACUAGGAUGAUACAAUCCCUUUAGAUCCAAAAGAAGAAGGGUAUGCUAAAAUAGUCAGAAUUGCUUAUGAAAUAAAAAUAAGUGAUUCAUAUUUCAUCUCUUCAGGAAAUAAUGUUUAUCCCAGACUAGCAGUCAUGGAAGGAAGAGACCCUUUGUUUAUAAAGAUUAUGACAGACUAUGGAUUUAUGGAUUUGAUAUAUUCAGGAAAAGAUUUGAUUGAAAUUUCGAAAUUUGAUGAUAUAUUCAUAAAAGAAAAGAUUUGCUAAGGGACAAAGAAUAUAUUUGAAAUUUUAUUUAAUAAGUCCUGAAUACAAUGGAGUUGUUUAUUAUCCAGUUGAACACAUAAUCUCAAUUGGAUAUGUUGUAACCAACUUCCAGAUAGAUGUGGUGGAGAAUGAUAGAAAAAUUUCAACAGUAACAAAAUCAUGGAUUAAACAUAGAAGAGCACUCAGAAUUAAAGUUAUAUACAAUAUUGCUAAAAAUUUGUUUGAUAAAAAAUUUUCAUGCUUGUGCCAAUAUGAAAAUUAGAUGCUGGUAUCAAAUGGAGGACGUGAAAAAUCAGAAAUCUUGAAAGAUUACAUUACAAGAUUUGAAAUACUUCAAUUUUCAGGAUACCCUAUCACUAUAAAAGAAUCCUACCAACUAAGAGAGUGUCCCAACUGCUUGUGAAGACAUAAAAGAUAAAUGACAAUAUUAGAGAAAUAUGCUCUUUGGAUAAAAAGUUGGAAAAAGCAUGUGGAGAUAAAGAAAAAGGAGGACAAUAAUGGGGGCUCCUUUAAUCAGAAGCUGCAUGUGAAGAUGUAGGUUCAAGGAGAACAAUAAUAGAAAGGCAAGUGUGCCUUUGUUGAUGUACUGUAUGAUGUAAUAGAUCAAUAAUAAAGCCUCAUAUAUUUGUAUAAAUAGAGGCAUUGUAAUAGAUAGAAAUUAUCUUGAAAUCUCGAAUUGUAAUCAAUAGACACUCUUAAAUUAUCCUUAGUCUGAAAAACCAGUUUUUCUGAAAAUCCUUGUAUACCAAAUAGAAAUCUUGUAAAAAUUCUAAUAGAAAUAAAAUUUCAAUAUUUUGAUAUCAAUAUGAGUUUCUAAAUCUUUAUUCCCAUAGAUUCUUGAAUGAUCUAAUAAAAAGUUUCAUUCUUAUUUUAGCAAAAAGAGAGUUUUUCUUUAACAGAAGUCUAGAAUUUUGUUCUUUAGAGUUGAUACAGUAAGAGCAAAAAACUGAAAUAGUAAAUAUUCCAUGAAGACAAGAGGCCAUUGACGGAAGCAGUUUACAUAUUCAGAACUCAAAGGUUACUUGGUUCUAAAAAUAAAAAUUCAGAUCAAACCUAAGGUAAAACUAUUAAAUUUUUGCUUAUGAAUCUUUUUAGAUCUUAGAGAAUCAAAGGGAUUAUUUGUAUGAUUUAAUGAUUAUUUGUAUGAUUUAAUGCCAGAAUAUACAAUUGAAGGAUUAGAUAAUUUGUUAGAAAAAAUAUUAGAAGAAAUAAAAAAUAUUAUUUCUCAAUUAAAAAAUAUGAAUACAUCUUUUGAAGAAUAUAAUAUAUUAAAUAAUAAAUAUGAACAAUAUAUUGCAGAUUAUUCCAAUCUACUUGAUCAAAGAAUGGAUUUAUAUACUAAAAUUCAAAAUAGAAUAAAUAUAAGAUAAAAUAGUUUCAAGAUUAAGAUAUAUGUUGUAAUAUAGAAAAAAUCAUUUCGUUAAGGGCAAUAUAGACUUUUCUAUGAAAAGGCAUAGUAAGAGGCCAAAUAGAAAAAUCCUCUCUUUUGCUUUCCCCUUUGACUUCAUUUCCAUGUGUGUUUGUCAGUUUGUGCAUAUAUAUGUAUAUAAAUAGGGAUUUUAUUAUGUUUACGUUACCUAACAAUAAUUUGUUUCAAUUGUUGAAAAUCCCACCUUAUGUGAUUCUGAGCGAGUAGUAAAUAUGAAGCUUUAAGAGAAAAGAUGUUUGAAUUAACUAAAAUGAUUUUUUUCCCCGAGGUGGGUAUACCAUUUCUUUUGUUUCUGUUUAUACUUUUCGGAAAAUUAUAGGAUGUGUUAUGUGGGGUCUUGGGAAUACACAAUAGCAAAUGGAACCUAAAUCACUCUAUCUGUUUAUACCAUCAUCGUCUAGCAAUAACCUCAGACCAGGGUCCAAUGACCUUUCAUUUAUAUUUCCUACAGUGGGCCUCGCCGGAAAAAAAAGUGCACAUCUAAAUACCAUUCCAAAGACAUCCCAUCAACAGUAUCAAACUUUGUGAUCAAUCCAGUCCCAACUGGCUUAGACACCAAUCUUUCCUCAUUGCAGUAAGACCGUAAGGGUUGAAGGCCCAGACUAGGAUGGAGUGGAUUGAAAUGCAGCUGGGAGAAUUAGGUUUUCAAAACAGCAUUCCUUAGUCAGUGGUACUGAGUCAAUUAAUAUUCUUUUGGCAGAGUUGUCGAAUUGUAGAUGGAUAGAGAUAUGAUUAGCUUCUUAGAUGACAUAAUUAGCAAAGGCAGAGUAGGGGGCACGCUUUAUGUAUCUUCGGAGAGCAUGUCCUUCGCGGAUCUGAGAAAUUCACUAUAGUUUUCACGUCUCCCUAGAAUAUGAUGGUUUACAUAAUUACUGAUCUUUCAUUAUGGGGACCGGGCUUUCUGGGCGGCCGCCUCUGCGGAUUUCAUCUGGGUCUCCAAAUUUUCCUCCAACUACACCUUUAUUCUUGGCAAACUGCCUGAUCAAGGCUUGAUUACCAUGUGAUGAUGUCAAAAUUGUACCUGUUGAUUUCUCGAGAUUGAGGACUGGGAUCGAGCACAAACGGAGCCUUCCAGUACCUGAAACAAAGGCAACGAGGUGUGUGCUCGUCGCCCCUCCGAUGCUUAAGUCAGAGAGGGAAAUUGUGUAAAAGUAUGUGCUGUAAUUGUAUUGUAAAGACAUACCUGAAUAAUGGAGUUGAGUCCUGUAUUUAUAGAUGUCAGUGGUUGAGUUAUAUCAGGAUUCAACCACCUGUAAUCUUUAUCUUGUACAGUGAUUGAGUUAUAUCACAAUUACCACUUUAGGUUUGGCAUGAAUUGUAACACGUUUAGUAUUUAGAUAAUGAUAAACAGUUGAGUCAUAGGAGCACUAAAACUCACAAGAGACUCGAGAAGAGGACAAUAUUUUGACAUAUGGACCCGACCUUAGUAGGACCCGAUUAUUAGGUCCGACCUAUGAGAGGCCCGACCACAUUUUAAAGGAUAUUUGGAGAUGAGAGUGGUCGAGGUAUUUACCUCGAGCCAUGCUAGAAAGUUUGGGGUCGGGCUAUAAUUUUCAUACACAUCACCAUGGAUAAAAAGGAUAUUUAUGCCAGGCUCUGCAGACCCAACUCUUUUGACGGUGGACAAAGGUUUGCUUGUUCAAAUUCUCUAUUUUUUAUUUUUUUUCCCUUUCUGGUCCUGAAUUGUUAAAUUUGAUUUUCUUUUUUUUUUUUUGUUUGUUUGUGGGAAUAGGAAUUUUGGAUUGAUAAGAGAAUCGGAGGGACAUAUUUGUCAAUUUCUUCAAAGGCGAUAGCAAUUACGGGUAUAGAUGAUCGGAGAUAUUGAAAUCGCAUUCAGACUGAUGAAUCUAGGUGAGUAUUUGAAACAUCUGUGUGUUUGUUUGGUUGUUUGUCAUGUCUAAGCACAAAUUUGUCGGAAAAUAUGAAUAUAUUGCUUUUAUCCAAAGAAAACUUGCAUACUUCUCAAAGAUUUUCUUCAUAGUUGUUUUACGUUUCCGGGGGUUCAAACUUUCAAGGUACAAAGGCUGUAGCUUGAUAUAAAUAGAUCAAAUUACCUUCAAAUUCGACGGUUUAUAUGUUUUUUUUUAGUUUCUGAAUCCUCCAGAUGUUAGGGAUCAAUAGAACUGGACGAAGGAAUACCAAAGCUAACAUAUGAUUCCGAGUUUCCAUAAAAUAUGGUAAAAAGAAAAAUUGAAGAUUGGUUAAAAGAACGUCGUUUUAGGUAGUCUGGAGAUGGGAGUUUAAUUCUUGUCCCUAUCCGGGUAUGGAAUAAAUAAUCCUUCCUUUUAAAUCCAAAUGCAUUGACAAAGAUCAAAUAUUCUUUGACUCAGAUUGAUUAUAUUCACACCAAAGGUGGUUUAUGUAUAGAUUCAGUUUUGAUAUGUACCGGAAGCUUAGGUAAAUAGUUGUUUUUUGUAGAUGAACCCUCUAAAAAAUAGUAAUAUGCUGAAUCAGAAAGUGUCAGAGAAUAGAUUGCUUCUUAAGGAGCUUGGGAUGUGGAGGCAAUCUGUAUUUUUGUUUGAAUGAGUUGUUUGAUAGUUUCUAGUCUUGGGAUUUGGUGGUACCUAGUGAUUCUUGUACAUAAUUUAAUUUCAACUAUUUUGUUCGGAAUGUAGCUAUUGCUUCGUUUAUCUGCUAUUUGCGUUUCUUCUAUGUCUCGAUUUUGUAGUUAAUUUUCUGUUAUUUAUUUAGAUUGCAAUUGUUGAUCAGUAAUUCACUAGUCGUGGGAAAUUUUAAAUUUUCAUGUAGUAACUGGAAAAGAACCUCACCGUUUUAAAGGUUGCUUUGCAAUAAAGCGAGGCAAUAUUUGGUUGGUGAAUUGUGUAUUGAAAUCGAAGUAUCAAAAGCAAACCACUCUAUACAAUAUAAUUAACUAACAAAACUACAAAUAAAUUUCCUUUUUAUUAUUAUUUAGUUCCUAUUUGACUUCAAUUUUUUGAAAUUCAUUUUAUUUCAUACUCAUUUUCAAUUACACAUUUUAUAUGACUUAUGCUUUUUUAUCAACUUCUCAAUUAUAGAUAUCAUCAACUUCCACUCAAUCCAGUUUGUUAAACCUAUCAACGUGUACACAUCAGUUUUAAUAAUUAUGAAAGUUCUUGGGUUCUGAAAAUUGUAAUUCACAUUUAUUAUGUGAAGCUUAUUUAUAAAUGUAUUUAAUGACUAGGGAUGCACAUAGAUCUUUCCGUCUAUUUGGAGGGUUGGAAAUAA